GCACCCAUGAGUCCUCUAUCAGGGCCAAUGUUAUUUUUAAUUGCUGAGAAUCAGCCCAUGGCUGUUCCUCAAAGCUGCAGAGCGCGGGCUUGCCAGGGGUCGGAAACCGACUUCAGAGGAGGCAUGAAGACCAGGAAGGGGCUGGGAACACGCUAAGAGGAAGAAGAUGCUGCAGCUCCUGCGAACACCCUGGAAUGCAUGGUGAAGACACUCACGCGCCUUCUCGGGGGAUGGUGAGAAGCUGGGGUGUGUGCAGAAGGCCAGGCAGAGACAGGAAACACGGCUGGAGAGGAGCCACGGGCCUCUGUCUAUGCCUUCAACACCACUUCUCUGGCCCCAGAAGGCUCUGGACAUGUAUGGACACUCAGGACAUAUCUACUGAAUAGCGAAGUGGGGGUGCAGGGGUGAGUGGGUAAGUGAGUAACUCAGUGGUGUCCCCACCAAAGAGAAGGGACCUUCUCUGCAAGCCCACAGCAGAUGAUGGGGUUCUGGACACUCUACCCUCAAAUAUGGCAACUUAAGACACGAAAUAUUUUAAGCUGAAGGAGUCUGAGAAAACAACAGAAGCCAGAAAGUCGCUUUGACUGUCCCCCUGACCCUUCUCCCCUGACCCAGCCCAUAAAACCCUCACGUGAGGGGUGCCCUUCCUGUGACUGGAAGUUUAUCUGUCUCUGAAGACAAAGGAACGCGAAGAAGAAUCCUAGCAAACAAGCUUUGCCUAGUUUCCCUGGUUUGUUCCACUUGCCUCAUGUUCCUAUCCUAUCCCUCCAUGACUGCCCACUCUUCAUCAGACCUAGCAUAAAAAUAUCCAAUCUGUUUAUCUGGGUCUCCCUUUCCUGAUGAAGGCCCUCGUGCCACAUAAAACUUACAUUAAAUAAAUGUGUAUGCUUCU